AUGCUUGUCCCUCGGAUUGCUAAUUCGUCUUCCGCUUCCUCUCCUGCCAGCUUCCGCUCCAUGCUACCUUCACUUUCUCUUCAAUUCUACAUACAGUUCUUUGCACUCUGGCUCGAUCGAUUGAACCUCGGUUCCACGUGGUUGGCUGAUUCUGCUGCAUUGGAAGCUUUUCUUAUUCUAAGUAAACAACAGCGGAAGGUGCAGAUCAUAGUCUUUUCCCUGCAGGUAUUUGCUUUGCACAGAUCAAUUCCUUUUUGUUCUUAUAUGUUAAAGUCUGUCUGUAUGGGCUGGGCUCUUGUCUUGCUUUCUACUUUUCUAGGAAUGCAAAGGGUGAAGGUAUGA
rnacentral:rRNA from 1 species